rnacentral:rRNA from 1 species
UUGAGGCGUGGCUUCCGGAGCUAACGCGUUAAGUCGACCGCCUGGGGAGUACGGCCGCAAGGUUAAAACUCAAAUGAAUUGACGGGGGCCCGCACAAGCGGUGGAGCAUGUGGUUUAAUUCGAUGCAAGAAGAACCUUACCUACUCUUGACAUCCAGAGAACUUANCAGAGAUGNNUUGGUGCCUUCGGGAACUCUGAGACAGGUGCUGCAUGGCUGUCGUCAGCUCGUGUUGUGAAAUGUUGGGUUAAGUCCCGCAACGAGCGCAACCCUUAUCCUUU